GAUGAACGCUAGCGGCAGGCUUAAUACAUGCAAGUCGAGGGGCAGUCCCGCCUUCGGGCGGGAGCGACCGGCAAACGGGUGCGGAACACGUACAGAACCUUCCUUCGAGCGGGGAAUAGCCCAGAGAAAUUUGGAUUAAUACCCCAUAGCAUUAUGGAGUGGCAUCACUUUAUAAUUAAAGAUUUAUCACUUGAAGAUGGCUGUGCGGCUGAUUAGAUAGUUGGUGAGGAACGGCUCACCAAGUCUACGAUCAGUAACUGGUGUGAGAGCACGACCAGUCACACGGGCACUGAGACACGGGCCCGACUCCUACGGGAGGCAGCAGUAAGGAAUAUUGGUCAAUGGACGCAAGUCUGAACCAGCCAU
rnacentral:rRNA from 1 species